rnacentral:rRNA from 1 species
GAUGAACGCUGGCGGCGUGCCUAAUACAUGCAAGUCGAGCGAACAGAUAAGGAGCUUGCUCCUUUGACGUUAGCGGCGGACGGGUGAGUAACACGUGGGUAACCUACCUAUAAGACUGGGAUAACUUCGGGAAACCGGAGCUAAUACCGGAUAAUAUUUCGAACCGCAUGGUUCGAUAGUGAAAGAUGGUUUUGCUAUCACUUAUAGAUGGACCCGCGCCGUAUUAGCUAGUUGGUAAGGUAACGGCUUACCAAGGCGACGAUACGUAGCCGACCUGAGAGGGUGAUCGGCAACACUGGAACUGAGACACGGUCCAGACUCCUACGGGAGGCAGCAGUAGGGAAUCUUCCGCAAUGGGCGAAAGCCUGACGGAGCAACGCCGCGUGAGUGAUGAAGGUCUUCGGAUCGUAAAACUCUGUUAUUAGGGAAGAACAUACGUGUAAGUAACUGUGCACGUCUUGACGGUACCUAAUCAGAAAGCCACGGCUAACUACGUGC